rnacentral:rRNA from 1 species
UACAGAGGUCUCAAGCGUUGUUCGGAUUUAUUGGGCGUAAAGGGCGCGUAGGCGGCGGGGUAAGUCGGGUGUGAAAUCUCAGGGCUCAACCCUGAAACUGCACUUGAUACUGCUCUGCUAGAGGACUGGAGAGGAGACUGGAAUUCACGGUGUAGCAGUGAAAUGCGUAGAUAUCGUGAGGAAGACCAGUGGCGAAGGCGGGUCUCUGGACAGUUCCUGACGCUGAGGCGCGAAGGCCAGGGGAGCAAACGGG